ACAAAAAAGAAAUAAUUUCUGGAAGAAUAAAAGAUAGAUUGGUAUUUUUCGUUUGUUUCUUUGAUGUGUUGUGGCCUCGAGAUUCUUUGUCUCCGUUCGGUUUCUAAUUUUCUCUUNNNNNNNNNNNUAUCUUUUCUUUGUCAGAGACCGACAGAAAGAGAGUGAAACCAUAUAAAACGCGAAAACCUAAUCAACACUUUCUCUCUCUCCUUUUCCAGAUUUUAUUUUUCCCG
rnacentral:misc_RNA from 1 species